UGUGCCCCAGAGGUGUUGUAGGUGUGGCUGCUGUGCCACAUGUGAGUCAGUAGGAGGCACAGAGGAGAGGCUCUGCUUACUCUCAGGGUCUGACCUAUGAACGUCUGAAUGAUUGAUAGCCUAACAUU